AGUCCCGCAACGAGCGCAACCCUUGUCUUUAGUUGCCAUCACGUCGUGGUGGGCACUCUAGAGAGACUGCCGGUGUCAAACCGGAGGAAGGUGGGGAUGACGUCAAGUCCUCAUGGCCUUUAUGAUCAGGGCUACACACGUACUACAAUGGCCGGUACAAAGGGCAGCGACAGGGCGACCUGAAGCGAAUCUCGUAAAGCCGGUCUCAGUCCGGAUUGGAGUCUGCAACUCGACUCCAUGAAGUUGGAAUCGCUAGUAAUCGUGGAUCAGCAUGCCACGGUGAAUACGUUCCCGGGCCUU
rnacentral:rRNA from 1 species